rnacentral:rRNA from 1 species
AGCCUGAACGCUGGCGGCGUGGCUAAGACAUGCAAGUCGAACGGUGUAGCAAUACACAGUGGCGAACGGGUGAGUAAUGUAUCGCUAACGUACCCUUAUGUCAGGGAUAGCCGGGGGAAACUCCGGGUAAUACCUGAUGAAAUUCCUUUUUCGCAUGGAAAAGGACUCAAAGGAGCAAUCCGCAAAAGGAGCGGGCGAUAUCGUAUCAGCUAGUUGGUGAGGUAACGGCUCACCAAGGCGACGACGCGUAGCCGGGCUGAGAGGUCGGCCGGCCACAUUGGGACUGAGAACGGCCCAGACUCCUACGGGGGGCAGCAGUGAGGAAUUUUCCGCAAUGGGGGCAACCCUGACGGAGCAACGCCGCGUGCAGGAAGACGCUUUUCGGAGUGUAAACUGCUUUUCUGUGGGACGAGCAAGGACGGUACCACCGGAAGAAGCCCCGGCUAACUACGUGCCAGCAGCCGC